CUUUUUUGGGUGACUUGGUACACCCCAAAUCUAUACCAAGUGGCGACUCCGUUUUUCAUAUUUUAAAAACCCUUUUUAAAAUUUCAUUUGGCCAAAUCGUCGCUUUCCAAAGUCCCAUGGCCUUUUUACUUUUCAUUUUGCACACGUUGACACCACACUUCACACACACAUCACUCACAUUCACUCGAUCAAAAAGUGGGGCGCGACAAUCACUUUGUCCUGUGAAGGCAGGGCUCGUUACUAACCUAAAUUUAGGGAACAAACGGAUCUGAAUUAGGUAGUUACAUUUAGCUAGAAUAACAAAAUUUUGAUGUUUUAUUAAGCUGAUAAAACUCCAUUACACAAAGGCGUCAAUUGAUGAAGAAAUUUGGCACCAUUUUUUCUGACAGCUAUAAUUUGAUAAGGAUGAUUGAACACAUUUCUGAUGUCGUUGCCAUAUAACUAGAAGGAAAGAAAUAGAGAAGAGAAAGGAAAAAGAAGAAGAAAAUGGGAAAAAGUGAAGAUUUGUUCUUGUGUUGGGAGUGAAGGUGAUUUUGAACCAGAAAUCAAGAUUUUUAGUUGAUAAGAUUUAUUGACAAGAUGCCUGAUGAUUAACGAGACGGUCGGGUCGGGUCGGGAGGCAAUCAAGGGAAGCUGCUAUCUUUGAGGUGGAUUUGCCCAAAUCUUAAUUUAAAACGAAAGACGGGAAAAGUCAACAGCAACCAGCCUCUUCAAGUCUUCAACCACAGCCAAUGCUCCACCUCCUUGUCCUCUCUCUCAAAUUUGUCUUCUUCCUCGGAAGUCCACAUACUCGUAUUAAACAAAAACAACGUGGGUUGCUCCAAGACUGAAAUAUCUCUUUUUUCAAAAAAAAAAAAAAAAAAAAGAGACUGGAACAUCUCUUCAGCUGCUAUACUAUACUUGUUAUAAACCAAGGCAGCAACCAGAUUUUAUUUUUUACCCAAAAAUUAGUGAAUUGAUGCCCUUUUCUUUGGAUAAAAGAAAGGUGCUCGUGGCCAUUAAUUAAA